GGCCGAAUAGCCCAGUGGUUAAGGCGCUUCCUUUACAGACGACUCAACUCGCCUGCGGAAGAGAUCGCGUGUUCGACCCACGCUUUGGUCA